UUUCCGUAGGUGAACCUGCGGAAGGAUCAUUAUCGAACUAUCGAGGGUUGUUGCUGGGUGUUAAAAGACACCAUGUGCACGCCUUCAUAAUUCUCAAACCCCUGUGCACCUAUUAUAGGCUGGUCGUAGGGCUGACUUCGGUCGGUCUGAAAGCCAGGCUAUGUUUACACACGCUUCAGUUUAAGAAUGUCAUUUGCGGAUAACGCAUUAUAUACAACUUUCAGCAACGGAUCUCUUGGCUCUCGCAUCGAUGAAGAACGCAGC
rnacentral:misc_RNA from 1 species